rnacentral:sRNA from 1 species
CUUGGUCAUUUAGAGGAAGUAAAAGUCGUAACAAGGUCUCCGUUGGUGAACCAGCGGAGGGAUCAUUACAGAGUUGCAAAACUCCCAACCAUUGUGAACCUACCUCACCGUUGCUUCGGCGGGUGGCCCCCACCGGGGCCGCGCCGGCCCCACCCGGCCGGCAACCCGUCAGAGGACCGAAACUCUUCGUCAUCAUUGGCCUCUCUGAGUAACUUAUACAAUAAGUCAAAACUUUCAACAACGGAUCUCUUGGUUCUGGCAUCGAUGAAGAACGCAGCGAAAUGCGAUAAGUAAUGUGAAUUGCAGAAUUCAGUGAAUCAUCGAAUCUUUGAACGCACCUUGCGCUCCUUGGUAUUCCGAGGAGCAUGCCUGUUUGAGUGUCAUGAAACUCUCACCCUCUAGCUUUCUUAAUCGUGGCUAGCGGCGUGGACGUGAGCGCUGCUGCUUUGUUGCGGCUCGCUCGAAAUGUAUUAGCAGACCCUUUUCGUAAUCGGUUCCACUCAACGUGAUAAGUAUUUCGUUGAGGACAGUUGCAGCAAUGCGGCUGGCCGGGAUAAGAAAGGCAUAGUUGUCAGCUUCUAAUCGCCCUCGGGCAAUUUUUUAUGAUCUGGCCUCAAAUCAGGUAGGACUACCCGCUGAACUUAAGCAUAUCAAUAAGCGGAGGAAAAGAAACUAACAAGGAUUCCCCUAGUAACGGCGAGUGAAGCGGGAUGAGCUCAAAUUUAAAAUCUGGCGGUCUCAGAUCGUCCGAGUUGUAGUCUAGAGAAGCGUUUUCCGUGCUGGCCUGUGUACAAGUCCGUUGGAACACGGCGUCAUAGAGGGUGAGAAUCCCGUCCUUGACACAGAUCUCCAGUGCUUUGUGAUGCGCUCUCAAAGAGUCGAGUUGUUUGGGAAU